UACGUAGGGUGCAAGCGUUGUCCGGAAUUAUUGGGCGUAAAGAGCUCGUAGGCGGUUUGUCGCGUCUGCUGUGAAAACUCAGGGCUUAACUCUGAGCUUGCAGUGGGUACGGGCAGACUAGAGUGCGGUAGGGGAGACUGGAAUUCCUGGUGUAGCGGUGAAAUGCGCAGAUAUCUGGAGGAACACCGGUGGCGAAGGCGGCAUCCUGGACCAAUACUGACGCUGAGGAGCGAAAGCCAGGGGAGCAAACGGG
rnacentral:rRNA from 1 species